UACACCAUAACUCACAACACCAAGCUUUACUCUUUUAUUUUCUCUCAAAACUUUCUUCACGAAAAUUGUCGGGAAUAUUGCGUAGAUCGUGUAUGUGUAUUUGCAUGUUGAAUCAAGAUCCAGCGAGUUUUGUCGCGAAAACCGGCGAGCAAAGGUUUUGAAUAUUCGACGGGUGAUAUUUUUAAAUUUGGAAUAAGCGAGUACUGCGAGUAGUUUGAGGUGUGGAUUUCCAAUUUCUUGUUCCGGGAAUCCCUAGCUUGAAUAAAGUGAGAAUGACUUUUCUUUGUGUGUCUAGAGUUGCAGUAGCUAGAAUAAUGAACGGUGAUACCUUAGUAGUCGUUGGACUUAUUUAUGCUUUAUAUUUUAUUAUAAUGCUUAAACUCUGAUAAUAUGUAAUAUGUGAAUGAUGUGCGAAAGUCCGAGCGACUGCACGAGUAUAAAAUGCGGCGAGCGCAUCUGCAUAAUGAAAUGCAGUUAAAUCCAUAAUGAAAUGGUCUGCAUAAUGAAAUGCGGUUAAGUCCAUAGAGAAAUGGCCUGCAUAGUGAAAUGCAGUAAUUACCUUAGUAAGAUGGUAUGCAUAAUGAGAUGCAUGAUAAACCAUAAUGAAAUGGUUUUGAAAACUAAAAUGCAAUAAUUAAAGAGAAAAUUAUGUGCAUGUUUUAAAUGGUAAUUGAUAAUAGAACGUUUUAAACUGCGAUUUUAAAAUGUUCGAAAAUAAUUUGAAUUCCGCGAAAAAUUUUAAGUGAUUUUUAAUGUAUUUUUAAGGCUUGCUACGGGUUUCGGAGCAACCACUCCCAUUCCCUAGCGCCGGUCUCGAUGCCGAGAAUCAGGUCGU